ensembl:lncRNA
UUCACAAAUGGGGAGGUGACGCUGCCCAUUGCAAUUCAUCAGAUCAGCAGCAGGAUGACAAAAAGGCUUUAGUCACUGUCCUCUGGGACACAGCUGGGGAAGGCUGCUUGCUGGCAGACAGACAAGGUCUGCACAGGGACCCUCCCAACCAAAAGCUGACCAAAGCGAGGGUAUUUUCUUCACAACCCUGCGGAGGGAGAAGCCCUUCCCUCACCCCAGACCAUCCCCUCCUGAGGCUCACAGGACGCCUCCGUUCAUUCCCCGGCAGUCUCACCAGAGCUGCUGGUGGGAACAGCACAGCCCCAUCUUACAGGCACGGAGGCGAGGCUUGGGGGAUGAUGCCCGCAUGUCCAAAGCUCUCCUAGCUUCCCACCCACAUUGGGCUCCCCAGGCCCUGACCCUGUGGACACGAUGCUGCCGUCCAUCUUCAGGAAGCAGGAGCUCCCAGAGCCCAGCAGUGACCAGGCAGCAGGUGUGACUUCCUGGGAGGCCAGCUCUGGAACUCGUUUUUCCUGGUGCCCUCCUGGGGACUGCAUUCCACUGAAUCUGACACACAUUUUUUCAGGCCUAGCUGUGACCCUUCAGGCAAGGGUGGCCACAUCUGGGGAACCUCCCGGAGCCCCUGGGCAACCUGGGAGGCUGGGCUUGUGUCUGGAUGCUGUGCCCGCAGGACCCUGCAGAGCAGGUCUUCUGUGUUUGUCAACCAUGCCCUGGGGACAGGUGGAUCAUGGGUACAUUUGGUUUAGAGGUGCCUGGGCCUGGUUUGGGCUGAGAGGAGGGACUGGGAAAGGGUUUCGGAAUGGGGUGGGGUGCCAAGAUGGGGCUGGUGGUCAGUGGUGGGGUGGGGAAGGGCCAAGUGCGGAACGCUGGUGUGCGCUGCAGUCAAUGCUGGUGCCCUCUGCUAGAACCGAAUCUUCGGUGGCUCAGUGGUAAAGGAUCUGCCAGCCCAUCAGGAGACACAGGUUCGAUCCCUGGGUGGGGAAGAUUCCCUGGAGGAGGAAACGGCAGCCCACUCCAGUAUUCUUGCCUGGGAAUUCCCAUGGACAGAGGAGCCUGGUGGGCUACAGACCAUGGGGUUGCAAGAGUCAGACACGACUUAGCAACUAAACAGGAGAGAACAAGAAGAGUCUCAAGUUCAGAACACCUUGCAGGGGUGUCACAGGCACUUGACAGAGCUCUCCAUGCCACCUGUGUCCUGUAACUUCACUGCUCUGGGUGCUGGGACACGACGGAGCACACACACAUCCCAUCCCUUACUAAUAUAUUGAGUUGGCCAAAAACUUCUUUUGGGUUUUUCCAGAAAAAAACUUUAGUUUUGUUGUGUUUAACUGUUUGGCUAAUCAAUCUUGGUCUGACAAAUUUUCUUUUUCUCUACUUUUUGGUCAUGCUGAGAGGCACUCAGGGUCUUAGUUCCCUGACCAGGGAUUGACCCCAUUCCUCCUGCAGUGGAAGCUCGGUGUCUUAACCACUGGACUGCCAGGGAAGUCCCACAAAUUGUCUCUUUGGAAGAAAAUGUUUAUUCAUGGGUGUUUGGCAUGAAAAAUAUUAUUGCUGUUUUUUUUUUUUUUUGGCACCUCCAAAGAUUUAGAAGACACAUGUGGAAGCGAGGCUGGGCAUCAAGUCCACCUGCCAUGUCCCCUGGGGCUGGGAGACUCUCCAUGCCACGCCAGGCCCACUUUGGAACCGCCUCUGACCCAGAGUCCAGGCCGAGGCAGCAGAGGAGGCAGCAGCACCAGCUUGUUGAGUGAAUAAAUGGCCUGGCUCCGGGCCGGUUGUUGGAACGCAGGUGCUGAGGAGGAGCAGGUUAGGAGGGCAGGGCUGUGCUAGGCUCUUAGGGUGUAAUUCUCCCCACGCCUUUGCAAGAAGCGUGCAAUUUACAUUUUUAUUUGAGAUCACACAGUAAUUCUUGAGCAGUGUCAUAAAAUUCAAGGUGUUACCAAUAAAAUCCAAGUCCAUCUUGAUCAAGCCCCUGACUCCCGGCAUAUUCGCUGCUUAGUUUCGGCGUCCACUUUGGCAGACGUGGCUUCCCAGGUGGCAAAGAAUCCACUUGCCAGUGCAAGAAACGCGGCAGACUUGGGUUCGAUCACUGGGUCGGGAAGAUCCCCUGGAGGAGGAAAUGGCAACCGACUCCAGUGUUCUUGCCAGGAACAUACCACGGACAGAGGAGCCUGGGGGGAUACAGUCCAUGGGGUUGCAAACAGUUGGACAUGACUGAGCAGCCACACGCAUCUCAUCCCUUACUUGUAUGUUGAGGUGGCCAAAAAGUUCUUUUGGUUUUUUCAUUAGAUGUUGCAGAAAAACCCGACCGAACUUUUCUGGUCAACUUAACACAAGCUCGUGCUUAUAUAAAUGCACAAUCUGAGUGUUGUGCCUGUGGGCGUGCUGAAACUCAAACGGAG